UACGUAGGCAGCGAGCGUUGUUCGGAAUUACUGGGCGUAAAGCGCGCGCAGGCGGUCUUCCAAGUCAGUGGUGAAAGCCUGGAGCUCAACUCCAGAACUGCCAUUGAAACUGUUAGACUUGAGUACGAGAGAGGUGAGUGGAAUUCCCAGUGUAGAGGUGAAAUUCGUAGAUAUUGGGAAGAACACCAGUGGCGAAGGCGGCUCACUGGCUCGUAACUGACGCUCAGGCGCGACAGCGUGGGGAUCAAACAGG
rnacentral:rRNA from 1 species